rnacentral:tRNA from 1 species
UGUUCUGUGGCAUAGUUGGUUAAAAUGCCGGUCUAGCGAAUACGGAGUCGUGGGUUUGAAUCCCACCAGAACGC